rnacentral:lncRNA from 1 species
CUGUGAUCUAUGCCGCUGCUAUGCCCAUGCCAGAUCCUUUAACCCACUGCCUCAGGCUGGAGAUUGAACCCCCACCUCCAUCCACAGCGACCCGAGCUGCUCCUUUAUUUCCAUUCUGUAGAUAGUCUAUGUACAUAGAAAUAUGUUCAUCCAUUUAGUUAAAUCCCCUGUUAAAAUAGUUUGGGACUGGUGGUAGGACAUUCAAGUCAAUGAACAAAAAAGUACCUUAAAAACAAAUUGCUUGUUUAUUCUUUGUAAACUAUCUUUUCUUUUUAUAUGAAUGAAUUUGGUGAUAAAGUUCUAUAAAAAAUUACCUGGAGGGAGUUCCCGUCAUGUCUCAGUGGUAACAAACCCGACUAGUAUCCAUGAAGACGCGGUUCAAUCCCUGGCCUUGCUCAGUGGGUUAAAGGAUACAGCGUUGCCCUGAGCUGUGGUGUAGGUUGCCCCUGUGGUUUGAAUCCUGUAUUGCUUUGGCUGUGGUAUAGGCCAGCAGCUGUAGCUCCAAUUCGACCCCUAGCCAUGGAUCUUCCAUAUGCCACAGUGCGGCUCUAAAAAGCAAAAAAAAAAAAAAAACAACAAAAUUACUGGAAAGGCUUUUAGGAAAAUUCCUAUUUCUAUUAAUAAUUGAUAUUUAAUAAAUCUAGAGUAAAAUUUUAAACUAAGAUGUGACAAUAAAAUUUUAAGAUGUCAUUUUGCACUGAAGAUCCAAUAGUUUCAUAAUAGAAGUAGUUCCCUGUAAAGGUUAUUUGGGGACUUAGUUCACCUUCAUUCAGUUUUAUAAUUUAUCUCUUGGAACCAGCUCAGUGAAAGUUGUUAUGGAUACACUUUAAGAGGAGGUAUUUUUCUUCUGAUUUAUACUGAAUGAGUGAACAUUAUUAGCUAGCUCUUCAAGUCAGGGUCUUAAUUAUUCUCUUGUUUGACCUUCACCUGUAAUAUUUGGUUUGAGUUGUGUUCUUCUCUUUGACUUCAAGAUUCAACCACUGGCAGGAGCCUUAUUUAAUCUUUGUAUUGAGCUGUUUCAUCUCCUUGAAUAGGGCAUAAACCUAUUCAUCAACCUAUCUUUCAUAUAUGGGCAUGCUGUUCUGGAAUACUGUUGAGAUUGAGUGCAUUGUGGCAGGUAGAGUAUAUUCUAUUUAAAAAGCAAUGUAAUGUGUUUCAAUGUGAUUAAGAACAUGGGUGUUACAAGUAAAAUAUAUGGUAAAAAUCAUAACCGCAGGGGUUUUUACAUAAUGUGCUAUUCCUAAUGUGUAAACAAUUGAUUUAAUUUUUUUACUUUAGCUUUUUAAAAGCAUGGAGUUUCUCAUAAAUGCUGCCAAUAGGUUCUAUGUUUCAUUCCUUAAUACUUGAGCUGAUAUACUACUAUAACUAAAUUAUAUCAAGUUCCUGAUGAAUCAAAUUUCUAGUCUGAUUUAGAUAUGUAAAACAGGCUCUCACUGAAGAGCUUUAAUCUGACUUCCUAAUCAGAAUGGAAACAAGAAAAUCAAAAUCUAAUUUAUAGAAUUUUUUUUGGUAUGGGGGCAACCUCUAUUAAAGAACUUCAGUAUUCUUGUAUUUAUUGGUCUAAUAAAAAUUAAAUUCUCUUCUAAUUAAGAAAAAGCACUUAACAAAUGAAACUCUUUAAAAAUUUAAGUGCGAUUCUGAAUCCUUAUGUUAUUUGCUUGUUUUGUCCCAAUUUCCUGAUUGCAUUACAGCAGAUAGAGUAUUUAGCUGAUAGAUAUUUUAUGCUUAAAUGAAUAUAUUAAAAAGCAAAAUACAUUUGCCUUCACGUUAGAAUAAAAGGGGCACAUAUGAGUUGUCUUUGGAAUAAUAGCAUUGUAAAUAUAGAAGCUGCCUCUGAAAUGGAAGCUGGCUUCUUAUACUACAGCAGAGGUCUGAGGUAAGUGGUUAAAGGGACUCUCCCAAGGUCAGAUGGCAAAUUUGUAGUAGAAAUGGAGCCAGAACCAUGUCUCUUGAUUCCUUACUAAUAGAUCUUUUUCUACACCACAGGACUCAGUCAGAUAACAUUUCUACUUUCUAUCCACUUCUUUGCAGUAUUUCAGUGUCACUGCUUUAUAAUACAUAACCCUGGAAGCUUUAUUCACUCCUUUUUCACAAUAUGUGCUAAUUUUAGCUUUAUGAGUUUGAAGGUGGACUGUGAACCAAUUGCUGGUACUUUGGUGGGUUGAGCCGAAAGAAUUCCAGAGUGAAGACUAUGUUCUCUUUUCAUAUACCUCUUUCAAGAAUCUGUCAGGCCAAAAAUAAAACCAGAUAUAGGAAUGUUUAAUUAGGAGUUCCCCAUCAUGGCUCAGCAGAAAUGAAUCCAACUAGGAACUAUGAGGCUUCGGGUUUGAUCCCUGGCCUCCACUCAGUGUGGGUUAAGAAUCCGGCAUUGCUGUGAGCUAUGGUGUAGGUCACAGAUUAGGCUCGGAUCUGGCAUUGCUGAGGCUGUGGCAUAGGCCAGAAGCUGUAACUCCGAUUAGACUCCUAGCCUGGGAACCUCCAUUUGUCACAGGUGAGGCCCU